UUUGGUAAUGAUGAUAAAACAUAAUCCCAGCUCUACGAGGCCUUUCGUGGUCAAGGAGUAGAACUAUGUUCAUACAUAUAUCUGAGCCUUCAC
rfam:Arabis alpina cultivar Pajares chromosome 4, whole genome shotgun sequence.